rnacentral:tRNA from 1 species
AAAGUUAUUUUUAUAGUUUGCAAAAUUAUUUAAUCAGUUUAUGUUCUGAUAACUUUA